rnacentral:lncRNA from 1 species
CUCGGCAUCAGCAGGGCGGUUUAAGGUGACAGCUUCUAAAUUCUAGAAAUACAUAAACACUCGAAACACCUGGAGUGUAUUCCAUAUUUAGAACAUGGAAUGUAGCAAUAAGUAUGUGGAAUAUUUUUACCAGCAAAACGCAAGUAAAUUUGCCCCACGGCAGCAAUGUACAAUGGGUCCAAGGAUGCAAUGUCACCUGAUGCCAAGAUUCAAGGAUAGCUAUACUGUAGGUUGAUUUCCUCACUUCUUCAUCAAUGGACAAUGGGGUCGUCAUCCU